rnacentral:rRNA from 1 species
AAGGGGCAUGCGUCUUGCUUACACAUGCAAGUCGAACGGUAUCCAUCGUCGCUUUGCCUGGUGGUGAGAGUGGCGAACGGGUGAGUAAUGCGUGACCGACCUGCCCCAUGCACCGGAAUAGCUCCUGGAAACGGGUGGUAAUGCCGGAUGCUCCAUCACACCGCAUGGUGUGUUGGGAAAGCCUUUGCGGCAUGGGAUGGGGUCGCGUCCUAUCAGCUUGAUGGCGGGGUAACGGCCCACCAUGGCUUCGACGGGUAGCCGGCCUGAGAGGGCGACCGGCCACAUUGGGACUGAGAUACGGCCCAGACUCCUACGGGAGGCAGCAGUGGGGAAUAUUGCACAAUGGGCGCAAGCCUGAUGCAGCGACGCCGCGUGAGGGAUGGAGGCCUUCGGGUUGUAAACCUCUUUUGUUAGGGAGCAAGGCACUUUGUGUUGAGUGUACCUUUCGAAUAAGCACCGGCUAACUACGUGCCAGCAGCCGCGGUAAUACGUAGGGUGCAAGCGUUAUCCGGAAUUAUUGGGCGUAAAGGGCUCGUAGGCGGUUCGUCGCGUCCGGUGUGAAAGUCCAUCGCUUAACGGUGGAUCCGCGCCGGGUACGGGCGGGCUUGAGUGCGGUAGGGGAGACUGGAAUUCCCGGUGUAACGGUGGAAUGUGUAGAUAUCGGGAAGAACACCAAUGGCGAAGGCAGGUCUCUGGGCCGUUACUGACGCUGAGGAGCGAAAGCGUGGGGAGCGAACAGGAUUAGAUACCCUGGUAGUCCACGCCGUAAACGGUGGAUGCUGGAUGUGGGGCCCGUUCCACGGGUUCCGUGUCGGAGCUAACGCGUUAAGCAUCCCGCCUGGGGAGUACGGCCGCAAGGCUUAAACUCAAAGAAAUUGACGGGGGCCCGCACAAGCGGCGGAGCAUGCGAAUUAAUUCGAUGCACCGCGAAGACCUUUACCUGGGCUUGACAUGUUCCCGACGAUCCAAGAGAUGGAGUUUCCCUUCGGGCGUGUUCACAGGUGUAGCAUGGUCGUCGUCAGUCUCGUGACGUGAGAGGUUGGGUUAGUCCCGCAACGAGCGCACCCUCGCCCGUGUGGCAGCGGAUUGUGCCGGAACUCAUGGGGGACCGCCGGGGUUAACUCUGA